rnacentral:lncRNA from 1 species
AAUCUUAGCAUUCUUUGUUGUUGCUGUUGUUGUUUGAGACAGAGGCUCGCCCUGUCGCCCAGGCUGGAGCACAAUUGCGCAAUCUCAGCUCAUUGCAACCUCCACUUCUCGGGUUCAAGCAAUUCUCCUGCCUCAGCCUCUCAAGUAGUUGGGAUUACAGGCACCCGCCACCACGCCUGACUAAUUUUAUGUAUUUUUAGUAGACACACGGUUUCACCAUGUUGGCCAGGCUGCUCUCAAACUCUUGACCUCAGGUGAUCCACCUUGGCCUCCCAAAGUGUUGGGAUUACAGGCGUGAGCCACUGCACCUGGCUUAAUCUUAGCAUUCUUAAUGAAGACUUAAAGUACAUAAGCCAUGAUUUUCUUGGUCAACCAAUCAAUAGUUACUUAUUAGUGUCUACUCAAUGCAAAGCACCUUUCUAGGCAUUCUGGAGAAAUAGAGACAUUAUAAUUUAGCGAAGGAGAUAAAUUAAAAGGUUAAUUUUAAAAAUGAUAACUGCACAGUUGAAGAGAUGUCACAAGCCAAAGACUGGCACAAAUGGUAGUGCUAAAGGAGUUCUUGGUCAUGGUGCCAUGUGCCUGUAAUCCCAGUUACUUGAGAGGCUGUGACAGGAGGGUUGCUUGAACCAAGGUGUUCAAGACUAGCCUGAGCAACAUAGCAAGUCCCGAUCUCAAAAAAAAAAAAAGUUAUAGAAAAAAAUAGGGUCAAAUCCUAGCUAGGAAAAAAAAGGAGCUAGAAGUCACUAGACUGGCAUAUUCUACAAAAGCAUAAUAUGCUAGACUUUCUUAUGCGUCCUGCCUUUGUACCUGCUGUUGCUUCUGCCUGACCUCCUUUCCACCUACUCUUUCCCACAAACUAAUUCAUGUGCUUCAAAACUACUGUUUUUUUUCAUAUCAUUUCUAACAUGGUGCUUGAUGCCUAGAACAUGUAGUCAUCUAUGUAAUGCCCAUUCCCAACAAACUUCCAAGCUUUUGUUAAUGCUGGAAUGAAUUAAUAUAAACCUAAAGUUUAUGAAUUAGUAUAAACCUAAAUGUCUGAAAAUAAUAGACAUGUAUUCUUACCUCAAAAGAUGUUGAAUCUUGCCAACAUUAAAUCAACACUGGUGUUCUUGCCUGUUAA